rnacentral:rRNA from 1 species
CCUACGGGUGGCAGCAGUGAGGAAUAUUGGUCAAUGGACGAGAGUCUGAACCAGCCAAGUAGCGUGAAGGAUGACUGCCCUAUGGGUUGUAAACUUCUUUUAUAUGGGAAUAAAAUGUUCCACGUGUGGGAUUUUGUAUGUACCAUAUGAAUAAGGAUCGGCUAACUCCGUGCCAGCAGCCGCGGUAAUACGGAGGAUCCGAGCGUUAUCCGGAUUUAUUGGGUUCAAAGGGAGCGUAGGUGGAUUGUUAAGUCAGUUGUGAAAGUUUGCGGCUCAACCGUAAAAUUGCAGUUGAAACUGGCAGUCUUGAGUACAGUAGAGGUGGGCGGAAUUCGUGGUGUAGCGGUGAAAUGCUUAGAUAUCACGAAGAACUCCGAUUGCGAAGGCAGUUCACUGGACUGCAACUGACACUGAGGCUCGAAAGUGUGGGUAUCAAACAGGAUUAGAUACCCGAGUAGUC